AAACCAGGUGGAAGAAGGGCUUACCCAGGAUUUAAGAUUGGUAUACGUUAUACUUGCAAGCUGAAGGAGAAUGACAAAAUAUUCGGUACGAAUAUUGGGAAAGGAGACCCUCUUGAAUUUCGUAUAGCUUCUGGUCAACUUAUAAAGGGAUGGGAAAUUGGUGUAAAUGGCAUGCGCGUUGGGGACAAAAGAAGAAUUACAAUCCCACC